AUACGGAGGGGGCUAGCGUUGUUCGGAAUUACUGGGCGUAAAGCGCGCGUAGGCGGACCGUUAAGUCGGGGGUGAAAUCCCGGGGCUCAACCCCGGAACUGCCUUCGAUACUGGCAGUCUAGAGAUCGAGAGAGGCGAGUGGAAUUCCGAGUGUAGAGGUGAAAUUCGUAGAUAUUCGGAGGAACACCAGUGGCGAAGGCGGCUCGCUGGCUCGAACCUGACGCUGAGGCGCGAAAGUGUGGGGAGCAAACAGGAUUAGAAACCCCGGUAGUCC
rnacentral:rRNA from 1 species